rnacentral:rRNA from 1 species
AUUGAACGCUGGCGGCGUGCCUAACACAUGCAAGUCGAGCGGUAACAGGUGUAGCAAUACAUGCUGACGAGCGGCGGACGGGUGAGUAACGCUUGGGAAUCUGCCUAUUAGUGGGGGACAACCCGGGGAAACUCGGGCUAAUACCGCAUACGCUCUACGGAGGAAAGCCGGGGACCGCAAGGCCUGGCGCUAAUAGAUGAGCCCAAGUCGGAUUAGCUAGUUGGUAGGGUAAUGGCCUACCAAGGCGACGAUCCGUAACUGGUCUGAGAGGACGACCAGUCACACCGGAACUGAGACACGGUCCGGACUCCUACGGGAGGCAGCAGUGGGGAAUAUUGGACAAUGGGCGAAAGCCUGAUCCAGCGACGCCGCGUGGGUGAAGAAGGCCUGCGGGUUGUAAAGCCCUUUCAGUGGGGAAGAAAAGCCUCGACCUAACACGUCGGGGUCUUGACGUAACCCAUAGAAGAAGCACCGGCUAACUCUGUGCCAGCAGCCGCGGUAAU